rnacentral:lncRNA from 1 species
UAACUGCGUUACUGUGGAUACCGAUAGCGCUGUCCUACGAGGAAACAGCAUUCAGGGUUGAGGCCAAACCCAAGCGGCACUAUCAGUAUUACGCCGCCUUUAGGAGAAGUAAAAUAACAAUUUAUAAGAAAAGGGGAAGAGGAAACCCUGCGUCCCACCUCCAUCCCCUUCUUCCUCUCCUCUUUUCUCGAAGCAGCGAGGACCGCCGUUACCCGGCGAGAAGAGCAACGCCGUGGACCUCGCCGGAAAACGACGAUGAGGAGAAGGGUGGAGAGGUGGGGAUCAAAGGAGGCACCGCCCCGUUGGCGGACUCCCGCCGUGGCCGGAAAUGCAUGAAGACGAAGGCGGAGGAGUAGAGCUCCCACGAGAUGCCGAAAGACUUUUGCCGCAUUCGCGAGAGGCACAAGAAGAAGGGCGGAGGGAUAGGGAUUGAAAACCCUCUAUGUCGCCAAGGACUCCAUUACUCCCUUCGGACGGCGUCACCCGACGUGUAUUCAUGCUUGUAAACCACAUGGUUGUGGAGGAAGCAGUCCGCUUUCUGGAGUUCGGGCUAAUUCCGGAUUAUUCUGGAGGAACAAACGUGGGCAAAGAGUGAGAUCGAAUUGCUACUUGUGGUUUAACAACUUUCCCCAUCUUCUUCAUUUUCUUUAUCUCUCUAUUCUCAUAGACUGACUCUUUAUUCUGAUUGGUUUGGAUUAUGACUUCUUUUUUGGUUUAACAUGAUCGUACUUCCAAUUAUUUACAUUUAUUUGCAAGAUUCAUAAUUGACUGGUUGCUUGAAUCUAAAGCGCAUUGGUUUUACUCUUACGUUGUGUUUAUUGUACUUGUAUUACCGACAAGUUUGUGAUUUGUGAUUUUACAUCAGAAAAUAAUUUCACCUUAAUUGUUUGAGAUGAUACUAGGAAUCUAUAAAUUGAGGAAUGGUCCCGCAUUGGAUAGGUUAGGAUUAUAGUUAACCUAGUAUACUCAUGGGCUUAUCCACCCACUAGCUUAAGUUUUGGCUCGGAUACUUUAUCAUGGUAUAACUCCUCGUCUUUGAGUUAUGUUCCUCCCCCUCUAUACGUAGAAGGGCCAUUGAGGAAUGCUCCCACAAUGGAUAGGUUUGGGACUAUAAUUGGUUUUAUGCACUCACGUAUCCAUCCACCACCUAAACAUGUGUAUUAGGUAAGGAAAAGUGAUUGAAGCUCUAGUAAGGAGAGAUGCUAGAAUUUGUGUUUUAGAGUCUAGGAGAAGACUUGAGCUUAUAUAUGUAGGUUUUGAAAUAAGACUUGGAAAAGUAUGAAAUAACGUAUUGUUGCUGUUUAUACGAGCGAUUGGGAAAUAUAAAUCCACUUGGCUGGCCCCAAAUAGUUGUAGCAAGGCUUAAGGAUGAAUUGAUAAUGGUUAUAUUAGAUGUAUUGAUUGUAGUAGAAUAUCAUGCACGUUGUGAUGUCAACUCUUAACUACAGCUACCUUCUCUACCUUUUGUUAGUAUGGUUUUUGUCUCAUAAGGAUUGAGCUUGAUGAAUAUCUGUUCCAUCUGAUAACUUGUGAUGCAGAACUGUAAACUCACUGGUAGGCAUCUCCACCUACAAUUUCUGAUACCUCAGAUAACAUGUUCUCUACUUAAUUGGAUGUUUUAAGGUAAUUUGCAUAUUUAGUUAUUAGCAUCUUUUAAUUCCUGAUUUAUUAUCAGACAAAUGCCAGAAAAAAGCUAAAAAAAGAAUUUUGUGUGUGUGUGUGUGUGUGUGUGAGAGAGAGAGAGAGAGAGAGAGUAGCUAUCCACUCCAUUGAUGGCACAUAAACAAUAAUCAAGCGUAUUCUUUGGUUUCUUGGAAUGCACAUUGAGCUUGGACUUCUUGUCUGGACCUAUCAAAAUUUGGUGUUAGAAACUGUUUUUCAGCCUUUUGGCUCAUAAUACAUGUCAUUGAGAUGAAGGCAAUUUCCAAUGUAAUAUUUUGCCUUCCUUUCUAGUUUGGCUAGUCUUCUUCCAUGUUUAGAGAAACGCAUGAUUGUUCCUUUAUUUGCACAUGCUUUAAGUGCAGAUUGAAUAUGCUUCCUUAUGAAGCAUUGAUUCUUUAGGAUUGAUGUCUAGUUUUUCUCUUGCUGAAGGUUGCUUUGUUAUGGCAUUUAGGACCAACUGUUUGAGGGCUGAUGCUAAAGUGAGAGCACUUAAACUUUUGACUAAUCUUAUUUAAAGUCCAAAAUCAACCUCCAUAGGUAUGGGGCGAGCCUUGUUAGCUAAGAUCAGGGUCUGCGUCGUUUUUCUUGUCGAUCCAACCAGACAACCAUAGCCUCCUCCUAUGGUGUGAGGGCUUGAUUUUGUACCCUACUUUUCUAUCCUGUGCCACUUAAAUCUCACAAAUGGUACCAAUCCAUCUUUUCAAGAGAGAGUAAAUAUAUCUGGUUUUCUUAUUUUUUUUAGUUAUUGAUUGAUGGCCUAUUCUUGCACACUGGAAUGUACUCAAUUUGCUUUUCUUUUAUUUUUGACCAUGGUGCUUUUGGAUUAUCAAAAUAAUUGUAGUUUAGGUCGUACAAUAGUAGUGGUUGCAGUAAGUUUGGAAACUGAGUUUAGCCCUUUUUUUUUGAGAAAACUGUCAACUGGCUACUAUGUGUGUAUUAAAUUGAUGAUGGGGGCUAUAGGAUUUCUACAUCUUCAUGAUCAACAAAUAUAAGCUUUGCCUAGUGCAUGGAGAUUGCUUCUUUUAUCUUUAUGAAGAGUUAGAGGUUCCCAACUUUGAAUGAUUACGGAAUAGUGAAAGAACAGAAAAUCACUUGUCCAUCUUAUUAAGAUUUCUUACGAAGUGCCCUAGCCAUCUCCAUGUAGCUCAUGUAAUUUGUUCGAAUGUGCUACACAUUACGGAAGCACAUGCAUGUACUUUCAUGCAUACAUAAAAGGACAUAAAUUAUUUUUUCAGUUUUCAAGCUUCUUUUCAUGAACCUCCUGCAGUUGUGUUGCAAAUUUUGCUCCAUCCUUUUCCAAAUCCACUUUGUUGGUUUCUGUGUGAGCUUCCUUGCCUUUUCUGUACAUGCAGUAUAGUACCAGUUGAAGGAGGGCAAUGGGGCUGCCCAAGAGAUUAGGUGUCUGUACCAAAAAAAUUUCAAGUUUAGUUGAUAUGGAAAACUUGAUUUCUUAUAUCAAGGUAUCAUGGUUUUAGCUUGCCAACCGC